UUGGAACCUAAAAGAUAUAGCAUUGACUAUUAUUUCUUUAUAGGUUGAUUUAUUAAAAGGAAGAAGGAAGUAAUUUUAUAUGUGUUUCCUGCUGUACAAACCUCACGAAAACAGAGUUUAUUUCAUAUUUGUUACCUGAUGUAUCGGUUGAUGCAAGCUUCAAGCAUUGAUGAUUAUCUUCAGUUCAGCUAUAGAUAAACUACAUUAUACCUGCUUUCAGCAGUUGAUAACCUGAAGAAUUGGAUGACUUCAAGUGCUGAGAAAACUUUACCUAAGUUUCUCAAGAAGAGAGAAAGAAUGGCAUCCAGGUGUCCGAACUUUCCUUGCCAAUCACCCACCACCAAAUUGAUCUUGUUAGGACUUCACUCUUCUUCCUGUUCCAGCGAAAACUUAAAUAAGUCCUUGCUCCCCAACUCAUUUCCAAUUUGAGGAGCAUCAGGUCUGAAUUGGCAUUCGUGUGAUUGAG
rnacentral:lncRNA from 1 species